UCAUGGGUGAAAUCCCUCGGCUCAACCGAGGAAUGGCCUGUGAAACCACGCAGCUAGAGUGCUGGAGAGGGAAGCGGAAUUCCCAGUGUAGCGGUGAAAUGUGUAGAUAUUGGGAGGAACACCAGUGGCGAAGGCGGCUUCCUGGACAGACACUGACGCUGAGGCGCGAAAGCCAGGGGAGCAAACGGGAUUAGAUACCCCGGUAGUCCUGGCUGUAAACGAUGAAUACUUGGUGUGGGGUGAGAGAAGUCACUCUGUGCCGGCGAAAACUCAUUAAGUAUUCCGCCUGGGGAGUACGGCCGCAAGGCUGAAACUCAAAGGAAUUGACGGGGGCCCGCACAAGCGGUGGAGCAUGUGGUUUAAUUCGACGCAACGCGAAGAACCUUACCGGGGUUUGAACCGCGCAGGCAACCGGCAGAGAUGUCGGGUUCCUUCGGGACUUGCGUGGAGGUGCUGCAUGGCUGUCGUCAGCUCGUGUCGUGAGAUGUUGGGUUAAGUCCCGCAACGAGCGCAACCCUUGUCUGUAGUUGCCAUCAGGUCAAGCUGGGCACUCUACAGAGACUGUCGGCGAAAAGCCGGAGGAAGGUGGGGAUGACGUCAAGUCCUCAUGGCCUUUAUGUCCCGGGCUACACACGUGCUACAAUGGGCGUCACAGAGGGCAGCGAACCUGCAAAGGCAAGCGAAUCCCACAAAGACGUUCUCAGUUCGGAUUGCAGUCUGCAACUCGACUGCAUGAAGGUGGAAUCGCUAGUAAUCGCGGAUCAGCACGCCGCGGUGAAUACGUUCCCGGGCCUUGUACACACCGCCCGUCACAUCACGGAAGUGGGCUGCACUAGAAGUCGCUGGCCUGACCCUUCGGGGAGGGAGGCGCCGACGGUGUGGUUCAUGACUGGGGUGAAGUCGUAACAAGGU
rnacentral:rRNA from 1 species